ACCAACCUAGCCUAGCGAACAACCACCAUCGCUCUCUCAUUUUCUCCUCUUCCUCCCGCGAACACUCGCCGCCGCCACCAACGCCAGGCGAUUCCGACUACUUCCGGCGGCCGUCGCUGGAACUGCACACCCACGAGCUCUCACGAUGGUUCUUCCUUCCCUCCGACCAGAUCUGCUCCUCGUGGCGGCAAGCGCUCGCGCGCGACCCCUCCCCGUGGCUAGGGUUUCGGCUGCCUCCAACUCCGGUGCGCAACCACCCUCCUCCAUGGACGAGGAUGACCACCAGGGCACGCACGUGGUCGAGUUUGCCGUCGCCUACUCCGGUGCGGUGCUGGACCAAGGACCUCCGCCUCAACAGAUCCUAGCUUGGAUUGGUGGUCUCUAACUUUGCAACAUAUGUUAUUGUGCAUAUCGGUGAAGUCAGAUUCUCCUUGCACAAGUGGGAAGUCCGAUCAUUUGCUGCUCAAAAUCCGACAAAUCGGGGGAGGAAUGCGCGAGAAGCAAGUCUAUCAUCAAUGGCAAGCUCAACAAGAUGAACCAUACAGGCGAGGAACCUCCCAGGCGCAGCAACUCCUCCGUCCAAGUUGAGCGCUGGGCGUCGUCCACCCUGUUGGCCACCAGGACGUACGAGGCGACGAUUGGCAGUCUCGGUGGACCGGACGCCAACAUGCCGAUGAGGCUGAGAGCCACAAACAGGGUUGAUUGACGCGGACUACCGCGGCCCGGUGGGCAGUGUGCUCUUCAACGACUCGGAGGUGGACUUGGCUGUGAAGACCGGCGACCGCGUCGCACAGAUGAUCAUCCAGGUAAUCUCAACGCCGGAGGUCGCCGAGGAGGAGGACCUCGACGCCACAGUUCGGGGGGAGGUCCACCUGCGUCUAAACUCCGAGUCUUGGUAGAUACAUCUAGAGAAGUGGUCUGUUUAGGUUGAUGGAAAGCUAGGGAAAGUACCCACCUUUCAAUGAUAGUUGUGUGCGUAUGAUAUGGGAUGUCGUGAUUUCUUCCUGUUCAGAUGUUCACUAUUGUAUCCAUGAAUGCUUCAAGUGUUAAAGAUGGUUCUAUGACCUGAGCUUAUUUUUCA